UUGGGCGUAAAGAGUCCGUAGGUAGUCAUCCAAGUCUGCUGUUAAAGAGCGAGGCUUAACCUCGUAAAGGCAGUGGAAACUGGAAGACUAGAGUGUAGUAGGGGCAGAGGGAACUCCUGGUGUAGCGGUGAAAUGCGUAGAGAUCAGGAAGAACACCGGUGGCGAAGGCGCUCUGCUGGGCUAUAACUGACACUGAGGGACGAAAGCUAGGGGAGCGAAUGGGAUUAGAUACCCCAGUAGUCCUAGCGGUAAACGAUGGAAACUAGGUGUGGCCUGUAUCGACCCGGGCCGUGCCGAAGCAAACGCGUUAAGUUUCCCGCCUGGGGAGUACGCACGCAAGUGUGAAACUCAAAGGAAUUGACGGGGGCCCGCACAAGCGGUGGAGUAUGUGGUUUAAUUCGAUGCAACGCGAAGAACCUUACCAGGACUUGACAUCUCUGGAAUCUCCUUGAAAGGGGAGAGUGCCGUAAGGAACCAGAAGACAGGUGCUGCAUGGCUGUCGUCAGCUCGUGUCGUGAGAUGUUGGGUUAAGUCCCGCAACGAGCGCAACCCUCGUCGUUAGUUGCCAUCAUUAAGUUGGGAACUCUAGCGAGACUACCGGUGACAAACCGGAGGAAGGUGAGGAUGACGUCAAGUCAGCAUGGCCCUUACGUCCUGGGCGACACACGUACUACAAUGCGAGGGACAGAGAGCAGCCAACCCGCGAGGGAGAGCGAAUCUCAUAAACCCUGGCACAGUUCAGAUUGCAGGCUGCAACUCGCCUGCAUGAAGGAGGAAUCGCUAGUAAUCGCAGGUCAGC
rnacentral:rRNA from 1 species